GAUGAACGCUGGCGGCGUGCCUAAUACAUGCCAGUCGAGCGAACAGAUGAGGAGCUUGCUCCUCUGACGUUAGCGGCGGACGGGUGAGUAACACGUGGAUAACCCACCUAUAAGACUGGGAUAACUUCGGGAAACCGGAGCUAAUACCGGAUAAUAUAUUGAACCGCAUGGUUCAAUAGUGAAAGACGGUUUUGCUGUCACUUAUAGAUGGAUCCGCGCCGCAUUAGCUAGUUGGUAAGGUAACGGCUUACCAAGGCAACGAUGCGUAGCCGACCUGAGAGGGUGAUCGGCCACACUGGAACUGAGACACGGUCCAGACUCCUACGGGAGGCAGCAGUAGGGAAUCUUCGGCAAUGGGCGGAAGCCUGACGGAGCAACGCCGCGUGAGUGAUGAAGGUCUUCGGAUCGUAAAGCUCUGUUAUUAGGGAAGAACAAAUGUGUAAGUAACUAUGCACGUCUUGACGGUACCUAAUCAGAAAGCCACGGCUAACUACGUG
rnacentral:rRNA from 1 species